CCUACGGGAGGCAGCAGUGAGGAAUAUUGGUCAAUGGCCGAAAGGCUGAACCAGCCAAGUCGCGUGAGGGAAGAAGGCCCUACGGGUGGUAAACCUCGUUUGUCGGGGAGCAAAGCGAGUCACGUGUGACGCAUUGAGAGUACCCGAAGAAAAAGCAUAGGCGAACUCUGAGCCAGCAGCAGCGGUAAUACGGAGGAGGCGAGCGUUAUCCGGAUUUAGUGGGUGUAAAGGGAGCGUAGACGGCAGCGCAAGUCUGGAGUGAAAUCCCAUGGCUUAACCAUGGAACUGCUUUGGAAACUGUGCAGCUGGAGUGCAGGAGAGGUAAGCGGAAUUCCUAGUGUAGCGGUGAAAUGCGUAGAUAUUAGGAGGAACACCAGUGGCGAAGGCGGCUUACUGGACUGUAACUGACGUUGAGGCUCGAAAGCGUGGGGAGCAAACAGGAUUAGAUACCCUUGUAGUC
rnacentral:rRNA from 1 species